CGGCGGACGGGUGAGUAACGCGUAGGAAUCUACCCGGUAGUGGGGGACAACAUGGUGAAAACCAUGCUAAUACCGCAUACGCCCUAUGGGGGAAAGCGGGGGACCUUCGGGCCUCGCGCUAUCGGAUGAGCCUGCGUAAGAUUAGCUAGUUGGUGGGGUAAAGGCCCACCAAGGCGACGAUCUUUAGCUGGUCUGAGAGGAUGAUCAGCCACACUGGGACUGAGACACGGCCCAG
rnacentral:rRNA from 1 species